rnacentral:rRNA from 1 species
AGCAGUCGCCGCGGGAACACGAAGGGGGCUAGCGUUGUUCGGAAUUACUGGGCGUAAAGCGCACGUAGGCGGAUCGAUCAGUCAGGGGUGAAAUCCCAGGGCUCAACCCUGGAACUGCCUUUGAUACUGUCGAUCUGGAGUAUGGAAGAGGUGAGUGGAAUUCCGAGUGUAGAGGUGAAAUUCGUAGAUAUUCGGAGGAACACCAGUGGCGAAGGCGGCUCACUGGUCCAUUACUGACGCUGAGGUGCGAAAGCGUGGGGAGCAAACAGGAUUAGAUACCCCGGUAGUCCCUGUCUCUUAUAC